rnacentral:tRNA from 1 species
GCGCCCGUAGCUCAAUGGAUAGAGCAGAGGGUUUCUAACCCUCCGAUGUAGGUUCGAUCCCUGCCGGGCGUACCA